AAGUCGUAACAAGGUUUCCGUAGGUGAACCUGCGGAAGGAUCAUUAUCAAAUAUAAUUAUCCAACGUAUGUUAACUAUUCUCUUUCGGGAGGAUUGUUAACAUAUAAACCAAUCUGUGAAACGUUUUGUUUUUACUUAUCUUGGAAAGGGUGUUUGGUCGUUUAUUCGAUCGAGCAGUUCUUUCCAUUAUGAGUAAAAUAUAUCUUAUUAACCAAUUGAACCCUAUUGUUAAGUCAUUUAAUCUCUAUUGUAUGAACUGAAUUGUUUCUUACUCUUUCGAAAGGAAGAGAAGGAAUUAAAAUUUACGAAACAAUAUAAAUUAAAAGAACAACUCUUAGCAACGGAUAUCUUGGUUCUC
rnacentral:misc_RNA from 1 species